rnacentral:rRNA from 1 species
UACGUAGGCAGCGAGCGUUGUUCGGAGUUACUGGGCGUAAAGAGUGCGUAGGCGGUUUUCUAAGUUUGGUGUGAAAUCUCCCGGCUUAACUGGGAGGGUGCGCCGAAGACUGGAAGGCUGGAGUAUGGGAGAGGUAAGCGGAAUUCCUGGUGUAGCGGUGAAAUGCGUAGAUAUCAGGAGGAACACCUGCGGUGUAGACGGCUUACUGGACCAUAACUAACGCUGAGGCACGAAAGCGUGGGUAGCAAACAGG